CAGCAGCCGCGGUAAUACAGAGGAUGCAAGCGUUAUCCGGAAUGAUUGGGCGUAAAGCGUCUGUAGGUGGCUUUUCAAGUCCGCCGUCAAAUCCCAGGGCUCAACCCUGGACAGGCGGUGGAAAUUACCAAGCUGGAGUACGGUAGGGGCAGAGGGAAUUUCCGGUGGAGCGGUGAAAUGCGUUGAGAUGUGGAGGAACACCAGUGGCGAAGGCGACUCUCUGGUCUGUAACUGACGCUGAGGAGCGAAAGCGUGGGGAGCGAACAGGAUUAGAUACCCCCGUAGUCCCUGUCUCUUAUAC
rnacentral:rRNA from 1 species